rnacentral:rRNA from 1 species
UAUCUCUGUAGAGUCUGCAUAUCAAUAAGCGGAGGAAAAGAAACUAACAAGGAUUCCCUUAGUAACGGCGAGUGAAGCGGGAAGAGCUCAAAUUUGAAAUCUUCAAGGUUUGACCUUGACGAAUUGUAGUUUAAAGAAGUGUUUUCGGUUAGAGGAGUAGUAAAAGUUCUUUGGAAUAGGACAUCAUAGAGGGUGAGAAUCCCGUAUUUGACUAUUCUUUCUAGCUUUGUGAUACACUUUCAAAGAGUCGGAUUGUUUGGGAAUGCAGUCCAAAAUGGGUGGUAAAUUUCAUCUAAAGCUAAAUAUUGGCGAGAGACCGAUAGCGAACAAGUACCGUGAGGGAAAGAUGAAAAGAACUUUGAAAAGAGAGUUAAACAGUACGUGAAAUUGUCAAAAGGGAAGCGUUUGACACCAGUGUUGUUUUUCCGAAAAUCAAUUAAAAAUUGAUUCAUGCCAGGUUGUAUUGACCUUAUCAGCUUGCAAUUUGGUUUUGGGUCUCUUUUUGAUGCACUUUUCGGUUAACAAGUCAACAUCAAUUUCCUUUGCUGUAAAAAGGUAAGAGGAAGGUGGCUUCAAUUUCGGUUGAAGUGUUUAUAGCCUUUUAUCUCUGCAGUCGGGGAGAUUGAGGUCUGCAGCGUAGAUCCUUCGGGGCUAGAUACAUUUAUGCUAAGUUAUAGCUUUUCAUAGACAACUUGUUGACUAUGUUUAGUCAUGUAGCUUAGCUCGUAAGUGCUAUUUUACCUACGCUUAGGAUGUUGAAGACUCUACAGAGAUA